GUUUUUCACCGCACUUGCUUCCACGGCUCUGACCGCCACUUUCUUCCUUCCUUGAUUGCAACCUGAAAGGCAAGGCGCAGAAGACUACGUCAUAUGGGGAUGAUGCUGGGUCAGGAACGAUUGUCUUCUCCAACCCAGCGGACCCCAUCAAGGGAGACUGGGGGCACUUUGCCGGAGAUCACAGCACCAGCGAGUGGUUCCAAGAAGAAUUCCCCACCGAACCCUGAGGCGGCACAAGGUGGAGAGACUCCCCCCGCCUAGCAGAACAUUUCUGCGGGGAGAGAGAAGGAAGUGAGCCCCCAGCAGGAGCGAGGGACUCCCGCCACUGAAACAUCAAUGGGAUCGAGUGCUUUGGUGGUCCACCUGAUCCCAAAGUUACUCGAAGGGAGGAAGCUCCCGAUCAAGAGGGCAACACAUCAAGUCUUCUAUCCGAGCUCUUCUUGAUUCUGCAUCCAGUUUGGCUUUUGUUGAUUGCUUCAUGUUGCCUUUUAUGUUCAGCAAAGCAGAUCUGGGUCUGGGCGAUGCGAGCAAAGCUGUGUCGUCCCCAGCCCCCAAGCCUACUGUUGCGGCCAUGACCGCAUCGCUACCCAACCUUCAAGCCACCAGCGAGCCGAUCACUCCCCCAGUCGGAGACGCUCCCGCCAAAGACGUAGAGGAGACUCCAACCGGGGGUGAUCAACUCGAUUCAUUAGAGAUCCUCUCAGGUCCAGCAUCCCAGGAAGUAGCCACGGAGUGCAUCAUCGAGGACGCCGGUACCAAAGAUGUGGAAGCGAGUCCCCUGGCGGCGAGGGUAUCUGCCCCUCUUGUUCCUACACAAGACCCAGAACUGCCGGCGGACAAGAUCAAAUUUGUUCAAGAGAACACGAUGCCAAAAAUUCCUGGCGGCGCCAGGUCCUAGGAGUUCGAGAAAUUCAGGAUCGAACAGAGUCAAGAAACACAACUCCAAAAGGAACAAGUGCCCGAGCUUGCACAGGACAAACAGGCUCUCGAAGAUUGAUAUAAGUCACUGCAAGAGAAGAUCAAGUCAAGCGCCAAGAAGCACAAAGUCGCCGCUGCCGAGGAUCAGAACUUGCAACUCAAACACAGAGUUCCAUUUAUUCAGAUCGCCCAAGGGCUGGAGAAGCUGCCGCUGAGGUAAGGACCAAUGAGCUUGGUCCUAUACUUGCAGAUAUGUUCAGGGUACUGUCACUAAAGGACUCAUCCCCAACACUUGAUCAUCGUGAUUGAUCUCUCCGGGGCUACUACCUGCCACCUCCAAGCUCCCCCCAUUCUGGAACCUAAUAGAGGAAUCUAUAUCCGAGGAUUUUGAGUUCUCCAGAUGGUGAUAUUCUUCCUGUUUGCCCCCAUUUAAAUCAUGGAAUGCCCUUUCUUAUUGCGUGCCCCACAUACUCCUAGUUUGGGAUUUAAGCAAUCACAGUAGCACUGCCCCCUACCAAUGUUGUUUGCCAUCAUAGUUAGGGUUUUUUUUUAAUCACAGCAUCGCAUCGUGAUCCUAUCAUAUUUUACAAAUUGUAUAUUUUUUUGCAAAAUUUUUAAUAUGUUGCACCAAGCGCAUAGUAUUGAUUUUGUGUAAACAUGCUUGGACUUAUUCACAUUAUUUUCAAUCCACCUUAAUUCUAAAUAGUAUCUUAUCACAACUCAAUACUUUUAAGUUCCCAUUUAUUGAUUAUUACAUAACCUAAUGUAUCAUAACAUAAAACAUAUAUGCAUGGAAAUUACCUAAUUUGAGAUGUUAUUUUUUCUUCUUCUUUGGAUCAUGAUCCUUUGUGGGAUCCUACCUACCAAUCCCAUGGAAUUGUAUUAAACUUUCACAUAGGAUUGUGAUACUAUGGAAAUUGUGACACAAGGUGGGAUCAUGACUGUUUUGGAUUGGUAAGAUUAUAGAAACUAUGGUCUAGGAUGGGAUAAUGACAACCUUGCCCCUACUGCAAGUCAUUGGCUCAUUAAGUGGCCUCAGAUAUACGCUUCACCCCUCCCAACUGAGUUAUGUCCUUUCCUUUCUCCAAUGUGCGGUAUGAGAGCAAUAUUCUUCCGUUCAUGACAUUAAAAAUCUUUUAAACAAAGGCCCUUUCAGGUCCCCGUCUUUAUAUAAAGCUUCACAUGUGAUUAUCAGUAGCUAGGGAUCACAGAUUUCAUGUUUAGUUCAGAAAGGGGUAAACCUCUAAAGAAAAACUUAUGUAUCUUUGACUAUCUUUGACUGCACUCAUUUCAUUUGAGCAGUUGCUGGUAUAAAAUGCAGGUUUAUAGUGAGAGCCACAUGCAAUUAUUGUUUAUUAUGUUCAAGGCUGCAAAUUCAUUUUCUGCCACACCUUUUCCUCUUGUUGUACCUUUCGCCAAAUAAUAACUAGCAUAAACCUGACCAAACUUUUUGUAUUUUUUACACUAUAGGAAUGGAGGUCCAUGAAACUUGGUUUUAUUUUUGCAACAAGUUUGUGGUUUAUUGACUGUCUCAAAUUGUUGAUACCAAGUUGAAAUUCUAUCCCUUGGAUGUUGUCACGACUUUACCAAAAUAGCCAUUUGGGUUAUCAUUCAACUCAUGUGUGAUAAAUUCUAAUCGUAUUUUACUGAUUCUGCACUAUUUUUAACAUGAGAUGUCUCUUGACCUAGCCCAGCCUACUCAAUUUAGUCUUGUGCAGCCAACCUCAUUCGACAAAGCCAGACUUUUGGAGUUGUUAAUCGGAGUUGAGGUGGAGUAAUACCCUAAAUUCCCCAAACCAGCAACCACCAAAACAGCCACCUUCAUUGCCAUGGAUGGCGGAUGCUAGUGCUGAACCUGACCAUGCCCUGGCCCUGACCUAGUAGAGGAACCUUUUUGUGUGUGAUAGCUAGGUGUGUGUUAGUUCCAUGCCUCCCAAUUGAAGGUGUGGAACUUCUUUCCUGCCCUUACUGCAAUGUUUCCCUGCCACCAGUCCCAUCACAGUCACAAUAUUUUCUAGUGGUCUAGUAAUCGCUUUCCACCAUACUCUAGUCAAUUGAACUGAGAUAGCUUUUCAUUUCUGUUGUGUUCUAUUAAUCUGAUAACACAGCUAUCAUGCACACACACACACACAAAGACUUCGAGUAGAAUACAGAGAAAUGUGGCACAAUAGUUCACUAGUGAUUCUAUAAUUUUGGUGUCGUCACCUGUUGUGGAAGCACUGUCACCCAGGUAAGCAUAUCAGGACUCAAAUUUCAUAAGAUGUGUAUGAUGAUCAUGCCUCCAAAUCUCCAUUUGUGUUAGUAGAUAUUUAUUGAUAUCAUGGGCUUGAUUCUUGCGGCCAAGCAUUGUGAUGCUUGCUGCUAACAUGAGCACUGGUCAGCCAUGAACACAUGAUAAAGCUUUUUUGAUGCUUUAAACUCAUCCCGUGCAUUUUUCAUGUGGUGUGUAUGGUUAUUUCUGUGUAUAUUUGUUGGCUAUUUCAGUCCAUUAUUUAAGUGCGGUCCCACUGAGACCUAAAUUCUUUGGCUGCUCACUUUCACCCAUGCAAGGAGAAACACAUUUCGCUUUCAAUGAAUUGUUGUUUACUAUAUACUUGUGCUUUUCUACAGGUCACAGGAGCGACGUGAAAUUGAGGAGUACCUAAAAGAGCAUACAUUUGAUAAUCUUGAGGAUGCUUUUGCAUUUCUUUCGUCAGGUAAGCGUGCUGCCCAUGUUAAGGCUGAAGCAGCUGAGGAUGAAGCAUUGUCUCAGCAAUCUUCACCAGAUAGAUAUGAAGAUUGUCCAGUUCCAGCACUAGAACAACAUCAAUCACUUGCAGCUGAAGGGCAGUAUUCGAAAGUUUCCAAAAAAGAGAUUGCUCAGAAUGGGAAGAAAUGGAUGACUGAGGAGAUGAAGGUGGCAUUUGAAAAAUACAUGAAGGAAAAGAUUAUCCUGAGGAUCAUAAGUAUGAGUUUGAUGAGCUUCAGCACCAGUGUUUUAGUGUGGAAAACUACUACAAGAUCUUCCACCACUUUAACUUCACCGUAAGGAUGAAGGUGUCCAGUUCAACGGACUGGACAUCAGUGCUUUUCUUCGCUGAGGUGAAGGAGAUAUUAGACAAAAAAAUGUACUUCUGCUGUCCCUUGGAGCCAUAUGAAAAUGGACUUUGCUAUGCAUGCAAGAACCAAGGAAUAGAUGAUCUAAAGCAUCCAGUAAUUGGUGCAUUUGAUAGAGGCAGUCCGGAUACGGUAUUCCCUUACAUGUACGACAGUGACUCUUCGGAUGAAUUUACUCCAGUUAGGCUUGCAGAUGAAGCUGAGGAUGAGAGUAUUUUUUUUAGAUAAAGGAAACUUUAUUGAUAUUAGCCGUAUCCUGGUCUUCACCGGCGUGAAUCUUAAAGUUCAAUAUGUCGAUUCGAGAGGCAGCUUGCAGUAAAUGCUAAGGAAAUGGUGCCCACU